rnacentral:tRNA from 1 species
GCCUGACUGGCUCAGUUGGUGGAGCAUGCGACUCUUGAUCUCAGGGUUUUGAGUUCAAGCCCCAUGUUGGGUA